GGCUUCAGAGCACUAUUGCAGCUGUUAAAUUCACAUGCUGAUGGAGUUCAGGUAUACUUGGGACUGAGCUAUCUGGAGGCAGUUGAAUACACAAUCCUGAAGUGCAGGAGAGAGGUAUGGACUAAAGACGUGUGUGUCUCCUAUUCUGAGUGAUUAUAUAGACAGAAAAGAGGAGGGCUUUUUUUAAAUUUUUUUUUUAGUUUAUUCUCAAUUGCAGGUGUUUCCCCUUGCUGGCAGAGUUCCUUUAAGUCUUGACAAUAAAAAGGGCAUUCUUGUUGUCCACCCUUGUAGGAUGCAUGUCUGGGCCAAUCAAUAAAAAGAAAAGACU
rnacentral:lncRNA from 1 species